rnacentral:rRNA from 1 species
UACGUAGGGGGCAAGCGUUGUCCGGAUUUACUGGGCGUAAAGCGCGCGCAGGCGGACUGAUCAGUCUGGGGUGAAAUCUCACGGCUCAACUGUGAGCGGUCCCUGGAUACUGUCAGUCUUGAGAUGUCUAGAGGAGAGCGGAAUUCCCGGUGUAGUGGUGAAAUGCGUAGAUAUCUGGAAGAACACCAGUGGCGAAGGCGGUCAACUGGCCCUUAACUGACGCUCAUGCACGAAAGCGUGGGUAGCGAACAGG